UUCAGUCUGUGACAUCAGUGGAAGCUUUUGCUUCCUAGCAGCAGUCUGCCGUGGAGGCAGAAGCUCCUGCCCACAAUUCUCUCUGGGACCUCUGGAAAAGAAAUGGGAGGUCCAUGUGACAAGCUGGAGAAACAGUAUUCCUUAAUUUUUAAUGGCCAGAGGAGUGCAACUGACUGUAUAGCCCAGCAAAAGCACAGACAGCCUUGAAAACCUCAUUAAUUAUGCUCCUUCUCUUCCACCACAACUGGCCUCUCCAGUGGAAUAUGCCAGCACAUUUCUCCCUCAAGGGGAGAGCUCUUAUUUUCUCUCCUCCUCUUACCUUCUGCUAUAUGAAAAAACCAGGCAGCUGCAGACCCUUUUCCCCAGCUGUGCUUGCUAUUAUGCCAGGUUAAAAAACCCUCCCUUUCUCUUCUUUUCCCCUCUUUUUGUUACCUCUGCUCUUCUGCAGUUUAUCCCCUCACUGCCUGCCUUUUUUCUGCUGCUGGCUGGCUGCAGGGCUUCUCAAACCUGGUUUUAAAAUGUAAAGUGACUUCUGACUGUGUGGCUCUGAGCAAAACCUUCACAGGCAGUGGCUAAGAAAAUGUUCUUAUUCCCUGUCCUCUGAGGUGGGUCAAAGCUUGUUCCAAUAGGUGCCUUGGCAUGAGAGCAGCAACUUCAGAAACUGACAGAGCGAUGUGAUUUGAGGGACUCAGCUUCACGGGUGGGUGACUCCUGACCAGUGUCCAUGGAGGGUUGUUGAGGGAAUUUUCCAGCCUCUGGGAUGAACCACACUCCCACUACCCAGGUCUUUAACUGCUGGGACUGGAGCCAUCUCACAGCACACAGUGAGCAGCACGGUGCUUAGAGCUGCCAGGAAACCACCACGCUGCUCUCCAGCGCAGUGACUGCAUCUCUGGCAAAUGCCAUCAUCAUGAAGCUACUAUUCCUCUUUCCAACACUUCCUGUGACUGGAUUAGUGAGAUGUGAGCAGCCACUGAGACCCCAGGUCAGAAGAAGCUUCUCCAACAAAGACUUGCAGGAGGAGAUUCAGAUAAGAGUCGGUGUGUGACCCGACCAGUGCCCUGCCAUCCUCAGUGGAAAAACUCAGGUGGAAGUUUUGGCGUUGAGGUUUUGCCAGUGGGCACCAGCAAAACGAGUCUGGAGGUAUUUAUAUGGAUUUGGGGUAUUGGUGUGGACUGGGGGUAUUGAUAUGGAUUGGGGUUAUUGCCAUGGAUGUGGGUAUUUGUAUGGAUUUGGGGGUGUUGGCAUGGAUUGGGAGUAUUGCUGUGGAUUGGGGUUGUUGCUGUGGAUUGGGGUUAUUGCUAUGGA